CCCUUAGAUGUUCUGGGCCGCACGCGCGCUACACUGAUGCAUUCAACGAGCCUAUCCUUGACCGACAGGUCCGGGUAAUCUUUGAAUCUGCAUCGUGACGGGGAUAGAUUAUUGCAAUUAUUAAUCUUCAACGAGGAAUGCCAAGUAGGCGCAAGUCAUCAGCUUGCGUCGAUUACGUCCCUGCCCUUUGUACACACCGCCCGUCGCUCCUACCGAUUGGGUGUGCUGGUGAAAUGUUCGGAUCGGCCGUUUGUCGCGGUUUCCGCGUCAUGUGGCUGAGAAGUUCAUUAAACCCUCCCACCUAGAGGAAGGAGAAGUCGUAACA
rnacentral:rRNA from 1 species